GAUGAACGCUGGCGGUCUGCUUAACACAUGCAAGUCGAACGGAAGUAGCAAUACUUUAGUGGCGGACGGGUGAGUAACACGUAAGAAUCUGCCUCCAGGACGGGAAAAACAGUUGGAAACGACUGCUAAUUCCGGAUGAGCCGAAAGGUAAAGAGAAAUUCGCCUGGAGAUGAGCUUGCGGCUGAUUAGCUAGUUGGUAGGGUAAGAGCCUACCAAGGCGACGAUCAGUAGCUGGUCUGAGAGGAUGAGCAGCCACACUGGGACUGAGACACGGCCCAGACUCCUACGGGAGGCAGCAGUGGGGAAUUUUCCGCAAUGGGCGAAAGCCUGACGGAGCAAGACCGCGUGGGGGAGGAAGGUUCUUGGAUUGUCAACCCCUUUUCUCAGGGAAGAAGAUCUGACGGUACCUGAGGAAUCAGCAUCGGCUAACUCCGUGCCAGCAGCCGCAGUAACAC
rnacentral:rRNA from 1 species